rnacentral:rRNA from 1 species
CAGCAGCCGCGGUAAUACGGAGGGCGCGAGCGUUGUCCGGAUUCACUGGGCGUAAAGCGUGCGCAGGCGGCCCGUUAAGACAGGUGUGAAAUCCCUGGGCUCAACCUAGGAAUUGCGCUUGUGACUGGCGGGCUCGAGUACGGUAGAGGGGGGUGGAAUUCCUGGUGUAGCAGUGAAAUGCGUAGAGAUCAGGAGGAACACCGAUGGCGAAGGCAGCCCCCUGGGCCUGUACUGACGCUCAUGCACGAAAGCGUGGGGAGCAAACAGGAUUAGAUACCCUGGUAGUCCACGCCCAAAACGAUGGGUACUAGCCGUUUGGUGCGCGAUAGCGCUGAGUGGCGAAGCUAACGCGUGAAGUACCCCGCCUGGGGAGUACGGCCGCAAGGUUGAAACUUAAAGGAAUUGGCGGG